CCUUAGAUGUCCUGGGCCGCACGCGCGUUACACUGACAGAGCCAGCGAGUAUUUCCUUGACCGGAAGGUCCGGGUAAUCUUGUUAAACUCUGUCGUGCUGGGGAUAGAGCAUUGCAAUUAUUGCUCUUCAACGAGGAAUCCCUAGUAAGCGCAAGUCAUCAGCUUGCGUUGAUUACGUCCCUGCCCUUUGUACACACCGCCCGUCGCUACUACCGAUUGAAUGGCUCAGUGAGACCUUCGGACUGGCCCAGAGAGGUGGGCAACUACCACUCAGGGCCGGAAAGUUGUUCAAACUCGGUCAUUUAGAGGAAGUAAAAGUCGUAACAAGGUCUCCGUUGGUGAACCAGCGGAGGGAUCAUUACCGAGUUAUUACUCCAAACCCUUUGUGAACGUUACCAUUGUUCUGUUGCCUCGGCGGGUACCGGCCCCUAAAGCCGCGCCCGCCAGCAGCACUAAACUCUUGAACUUUAUAGCGGAUUACACUUCUGAAUAAAAUACAAAACAAAUCAAAACUUUCAACAACGGAUCUCUUGGUUCUGGCAUCGAUGAAGAACGCAGCGAAAUGCGAUAAGUAAUGUGAAUUGCAGAAUUCAGUGAAUCAUCGAAUCUUUGAACGCACAUUGCGCCCGGCAGUAAUCUGCCGGGCAUGCCUGUCCGAGCGUCAUUUCAACCCUCGAGCCUAAGUUUUUCUAAACUAAAGGAUCGGUGUUGGGGCGCUACAGCGGUCUUCGGAUAGCUGUAGGCUCUGAAAUACAGUGGCGGUCCCGUCGCGGCGUCUUCUGCGUAGUAAGCUUAUAAAACUCGCAUUAGGUCCCGGCGAAGGCCAGCCGUCAAACCCUCUAAUUCUUUAUGGUUUGACCUCGGAUCAGGUAGGGUUACCCGCUGAACUUAA
rnacentral:rRNA from 1 species